rnacentral:misc_RNA from 1 species
UCUCCGUAGGUGAACCUGCGGAGGGAUCAUUACCGAGUGAGGGCCUCCGGGUCCGACCUCCAACCCCUUUGUUGUACCGACCCUGUUGCCUCGGGGGCGACCCGGCCUUCGGGUGUCGGGGCCCCCGGCGGACCACUCAACUCUGCAUCUUUGCGUCGGAGUAUCGAAAGCAAAUCAAUCAAAACUUUCAACAACGGAUCUCUUGGUUCUGGCAUCGAUGAAGAACGCAGC